GAUUAACGUUGGCGGCGUGCAUAACACAUGCAAGUCGAACGAUGAAACUUUAAUGAACCCUUCGGGGAGAAUUAAAGCGGAUUAGUGGCGAACGGGUGAGUAACGCGUGAGUAACCUGCCUUACACAAGGGGAUAGCCUUUGGAAACGAAGAAUAAUACCCUAUAAAACCAUAAAGGCACAUGCAAUUAUGGUCAAAGUAUUAGCGGUGUAAGAUGGACUUGCGUCUGAUUAGCUAGUUGGUGAGAUAAAAGCCCACCAAGGCAACGAUCAGCAGCCGGCUUGAGAGAGUGUACGGCCACAUUGGGACUGAGACACGGCCCAGACUCCUACGGGAGGCAGCAGUGGGGAAUUUUGCACAAUGGGGGAAACCCUGAUGCAGCGACGCCGCGUGAUUUAGAAGGCCUUCGGGUUGUAAAAAUCUUUUGUAUAGGAAGAAAAUGACAGUACUAUACGAAUAAGGUCCGGCUAAUUACGUGCCAGCAGCCGCGGUAAUACGUAAGGACCGAGCGUUGUCCGGAAUCAUUGGGCGUAAAGGGUACGUAGGCGGCUAGAAAAGUUAGAAGUCAAAGGCUAUAGCUCAACUAUAGUAAGCUUCUAAAACUAUUUAGCUUGAGAGAUGGAAGGGAAAGUGGAAUUCCUAGUGUAGCGGUGGAAUGCGCAGAUAUUAGGAGGAAUACCGGUGGCGAAGGCGACUUUCUGGCCAUUUUCUGACGCUGAGGUACGAAAGCGUGGGUAGCAAACAGGAUUAGAUACCCUGGUAGUCCACGCCGUAAACGAUGAGUGUUAGGUGUCUGGAGUCAAAUCUGGGUGCCGCAGCAAACGCAUUAAACACUCCGCCUGGGGAGUACGCACGCAAGUGUGAAACUCAAAGGAAUUGACGGGGACCCGCACAAGCAGCGGAGCAUGUGGUUUAAUUCGAGGCUACGCGAAGAACCUUACCAGGACUUGACAUACCAAGGAAAGUUUUUAGAGAUAAAAACCCUAGAUUUAUCUACCUUGGAUACAGGUGGUGCAUGGUUGUCGUCAGCUCGUGUCGUGAGAUGUUGGGUUAAGUCCCGCAACGAGCGCAACCCUUACAUUUAGUUACUAACAGGUAGUGCUGAGGACUCUAGAUGGACUGCCGAUGACAAAUCGGAGGAAGGUGGGGAUGACGUCAAAUCAUCAUGCCCUUUAUGUCCUGGGCUACACACGUGCUACAAUGGUCGGUACAAAGAGAAGCUAAAUAGCGAUAUCAAGCAAACCUCAAAAAACCGAUCCCAGUUCGGAUUGAUCUCUGCAACUCGAGAUCAUGAAGCCGGAGUUGCUAGUAAUCGCAGAUCAGAAUGCUGCGGUGAAUGCGUUCCCGGGUCU
rnacentral:rRNA from 1 species